rnacentral:rRNA from 1 species
GACGAACGCUGGCGGCGUGCUUAACAUAUGCAAGUCGAACGGAAAGGCCCUGCUUUUGUGGGGUGCUCGAGUGGCGAACGGGUGAGUAACACGUGAGUAACCUGCCCUUGACUUUGGGAUAACUUCAGGAAACUGGGGCUAAUACCGGAUAGGAGCUCCUGCUGCAUGGUGGGGGUUGGAAAGUUUCGGCGGUUGGGGAUGGACUCGCGGCUUAUCAGCUUGUUGGUGGGGUAGUGGCUUACCAAGGCUUUGACGGGUAGCCGGCCUGAGAGGGUGACCGGCCACAUUGGGACUGAGAUACGGCCCAGACUCCUACGGGGGGCAGCAGUGGGGAAUAUUGCACAAUGGGCGGAAGCCUGAUGCAGCAACGCCGCGUGCGGGAUGACGGCCUUCGGGUUGUAAACCGCUUUCGCCUGUGACGAAGCGUGAGUGACGGUAAUGGGUAAAGAAGCACCGGCUAACUACGUG